UUUUCAUCUCCUUCUACACCUCAGAUCGAAACCAAUCGGAAGAGAAAAACCCAAGCAAACUCAAAUGAUCCUUUUCUGAAUCAAACUCCAAUCAAAGAAAACCCAAUCUCAUUCUUAUGAUUUCUCUAUAUACUCAUCAAUUUCAGGGAAUUUGAAGAGAUAUAAUAACGAUGAAGGUGAUUGAAAUUCGUUGGUUAUCGUUUCUGAGAUUUUAGGUUCGAGCAGAGAUGGUAUGGAUUCAGAUGACCCGAACGCGCCUUGCAAACUUGGUUCUCAUUUCAUCACACUUGAAAAGAUCAAUGGUGAGGAGGAGAAGCUCUAUAAAGAAAUCAAGGUAGUCGUAUUCACCUUUUCUGCUCAAAACUCCCACUUGUAUAGUAUGCUUUUAUUAUUAUCAGUUUAUAUGUGAUGACUGACUACUACACUUGUGUCCCCUAGCUAUGUAAACUUGUCUAUCCUACAUUGUUGUUGAGCAAAUGCAGUUGAAUCCUUUCUAGACUCACAAACUUCUUGAACUGAUCUCAUCUGAAACAAGGUUCACUAGGGUGUUGGCCGUUAUUCUGGGUGAUUGUGUAAUCUAUAACAGAUAUGUUGAGAGUAGUGGAUACUUUAUGGUAGUUGAUGUCAUCAGCCAGAAGAUUGGUCUUUACUGCAUACUUCCUGAGAUUCGAGGAGUUACAGAACAAGGAACUGGUGAUUCCGUUAGGAGCAUGAAAUUUUGUUGCGCACGAACUAAAGUAAAGAACACUUCCUAAGAAACGGAAAUAUCGGGUUACGGAUGUAUGGUCAUGGAGUGGCAGUAGCAAUUCUGGCUAUCUACUUUACAUUCCUUCCUAUAUCAAUACCACCAUCCCUUGCUUUGAUUUCACAAUUGUUAAUCUUUUUGUUUAAGUUGUUGGCAGUUA